CCUACGGGCGGCAGCAGUGAGGAAUCUUGGUCAAUGGACGAAAGUCUGAACCAGCAAAGUAGCGUGAAGGAUGACUGCCCUAUGGGUUGUAAACUUCUUUUAUAAAGGAAUAAAACGAGGCACGUGUGCCUUUUUGCAUGUACUUUAUGAAUAAGGAUCGGCUAACUCCGUGCCAGCAGCCGCGGUAAUACGGAGGAUCCGAGCGUUAUCCGGCUUUAUUGGGUUUAAAGGGAGCGUAGAUGGGUUGUUAAGUCAGUUGUGAAAGUUUGCGGCUCAACCGUAAAAUUGCAAUUGAUACUGGCAGUCUUGAGUACAGGUGAGGUAGGUGGAAUUCGUGGUGUAGCGGUGAAAUGCUUAGAUAUUACGAAGAACCCCGAUUGCGAAGGCAGCUUACUAAACUGUGACUGACAUUGAUGCUCGAAAGUGUGGGUAGCAAACAGGAUUAGAUACCCGUGUAGUC
rnacentral:rRNA from 1 species